UUUGUCAGAUUGGCAAAAUAUAAUAUUAUUUGGCAUACUGAAGAAGUUUAGUAAUUAGUUUUUGUGUGCCAUGAGAUGAAAAAGAUUGAAAAUCGCUAAUCUAGGAGGCAGAAAACUUUCUAGCCACUUCUUGGUGCACUGCUUGUGGCUGUUUUAAGCAUUGUCUGGAAAUUAUUUGUAGAGCUUGAUUUUACACAUACUUUUUAGCCUGGCCUACUCACUUAUCACAUAUGUGCCUAGUCCAGUACCAAUAGACAAUAACUUUUUUCCCCUCAGAAACAGGAGACUGUUGUUUAAAAGGGCACUUCCCUUUACUUAGGUGAACAAUACAAUUUCAUGGAAGUUGGUGCACAUGUUUUCCCUUGAAUGGCUAAAUUUCAAAAGGACAUCCUGAAUUCCCCCUCCACUCUGACACUAUUAAAGCAAAAGAAAGUAUUUAUGUAAUACCCAUGUAACUGACCGGAUCCCUACAGGCAGCUUGAGAGAUAUAAAGGCAAAUACUCCUUAUAGACCAUGGUCUAAAGGAGAAGGUUCCAAAAUCCCCACAAUUAAGUUAUAUUAAUAAAUUUAAUGGAAAAUAAGAUCUUAGAAAGUGACUAAAAUGUAUUCAAGGUGAUGAGAAGGUAAGAAAGAGAGAGAUAGUAAAGUCUUUGUAAGCAUGUUUUCAAAGGAACGCUGUCACAUAUUAAGUAUACAGACUGAACUCUUCCUUGUUCUGGUGACAAUCACAUGCCUAAGCCAAAAUUACUGUUUUGUUUCAUUUUAUCCCUCCCCUUUCACAGUAAUAUCCAUAGUGAUGAGGAGUCCUAGAGAGUGUCAUUCCAUUAUGUUACGAAAUUGUUGCCUAUUAGGUAACCAAAAUGUAAGAGAAUUACAUCACACUAUAUAUUGUCCAAACACAGAACAGCAACAAAGACAACCAAAUGAAAGAAACUCUGGUCUUUUCAAAACCAAAGAAGUACAAGAAAACCAUAGAAUUUAAGGGGCAGAAACUAUCCCAGAAGGUUAUUCCCAGAAUUCAGAUGCUCAAGAUAGUAAUAGAAUUACACCUUUACAAAGAAUAAGAGUAACAACUUAGAUCUGAAUUACUACCAUUUCAGGUCCUAAAUUCAUUCAAUUGUUAAACAUAAAAGAAAGCAUAAUCAUGCUUUAGUUUGCAACUUUCACAGGUGCUAAGACAAUGAAUGAAAAUAGCUCUCUCUAAAACCCUCCUACAAAUUGGCACAUUCCAUGAAUAAGUAGUUCCUUGUGACCCUGAAUUAGAAGCUUUCAAUUGAUAGUUUUCUCUAUAAAGGGAGAAAAGAAUUCUCAUAAUUCAUAUUCCAUAAAUGAAGGUUUAAAACUGACACUUUUUCAUUUUUAAAAACUUCAAAAUAGAGAUGAAAAUACCACGUUGGACUGUAAUUUUUUUCAGUCCUCAAUCUGAAGAGCUUGGACCCAUUUAAGGUAUGUUGCACAGGAAGACAGUACCCUAAUAAAUGUUGGCUCAACCCGAUUCAUUCAGAUAAUCAUCAUAAUAUUGUUAGAUCUGUUGGCUGGAAAUUAGGACAAAUUUGAUUAAUCCAAGGUAAUUUGAGGAAGGGAGGAAAGCUGGUCAUGCUCUGCCCUGAGCAUUAUUGCCGAGGAGGAGAAUGAGAGUCACAUUUGAGGAUUUGUCCAGGGCCCAGUCAGAUACUAUUACUGAAAAGAAACUGUGUUUAUGAUAACCCUCCUUAAGAGAAUAAAAGGAAGAGGUAGAAUGGAGUUGACACUCCACCUCCGGCCUCUUCCACCCCUCAGUUUUUGAGCUCAUGCAACCUAACCCUCUCCUUUCUCUGGCUCGACCACUUUGUAACUCUUACCACAUUCCUUCUCACAUUCUCUUUAUACUUUAUCUUUUGCUUUCUUGUAGUUGUUUAAUAUUGUAUAAAGAGCUUUUUCUCUUGAGAGAAACAGAGGUGUGCCAAAGUCUUGAUAGAUAAUAUAGUGUUAAGGAAACAUAGGGGAAACUAACAAUGUGGUUGCCCAGCCGUGCUUCAUCAAAACUAGAAUGUCCCUAUUACAGCAGUGGCCCUGGCAGUCUGACAUCAGCUCUGGUGUCACAACGACCACUCUGCCAGUAGUCUUUCUUUUGGAGCAGGUGUCUGUUGCACUGAACUCCACUUUUGCUUCACUAUGCCACCUACUUUCAUGCUUUUCCAUUAGGGUGACUCAGCUAAUCCAUGUUUGUUUUUCUGUCUAAUUCUUCUCUGUGCUCCUUGACACUGAAUGCACUCUCUCUUCUCCUUUCUACAUGAAGGUGUGUGCUUAUUCAUGGCUUCUACUGCCAUGCCACUUUUGCUUAACAUCCUCUCUCUCUGAGCUUCCACUGCUGCCUACCACUUCUAUUCCUUUCUGUAUAUGUCUCAUUAAAUGUCCACAAGAAGGAUUUGGUUGAUUUGGUUCAGAACAGAGGGUUCUUGCUAGGAAGAGCUCUCCUGGUAGUCUAUAGAUACUUUUCUUCAGCACUUACCCAUUAUGUAACUUACUGUGAUUGGGAUCCUGUGAUACCAAGCAUUGUGGUCUACAUGUAAGGUACCUCUUUAGGAGCCUCUAAGUUGUAUUUAAAGAAGACAGUGUACCCUACAGACAUCAUGCACAGAAUAUGCUAUAUUGAGGCAUCCUAUCAAGGGACUUGAAGUACUAGAUUUUUCGUUCUUAUACCAUAUAUCACUGACUUUAAGAUGAUAUCAAUUGUAAGGUAUACUUUGGUUUAUGUAAAGAAAGAAGGAAAUACUGCCAAUUAAAUGAUAGAACACUAUAGUUAGAGGCAUCCCGGUCUCAGGUCUGAUAUGUGAAAAAGUGUGCUUUUUACAAAAGGUGAAACAUGGUGCUUGCCAUGUAUCUGAGAUCAUCAGGGAGUGAGAGUGGGUUAAGUGAGCCUCCAGAGUAGGUCCCUGAGGAUUGACCCAUAGAGUGGGGUAAAUGCUAAAAACUAGGAAUCAGGUCCUAAAUCUGGGAGGCCAGUAGGUAAUGUCUAGAGAAGAGACAGCCAGAUAUCUGUCUACAAAAGAGGAGGCGGCCAGUCUCUGCUCCCAAGUGUUUUUUGGGUCAAGAAUGUGACAAAUAUCAGAAGGUAGAUCCAAAGGGAGAAAGAAGUAUGUUCCCCUAAUGGUUAAAUGACAUGGAUAGAUCAGGAAGGUCUGUUUCUGUUAAAUCCCCACUUAUACUCAGGCAUCAAUUCACCUGUCUCUUUUGUCUUCUAAAAUUUUCUUUGUUUAUUACUCGAAUAUUAACUAGCUCUUUGGAAAUAAGGUAAUUUAGUAAAACAAACACUGUAUUUGUCUUUGAGGCACCUAAAAUAGCAUAACCACUGAGAGUUAAACACAUAGUUGUAAUACAUUAACGAAUAAUGCCUAGUUGUUGACUCCCUUUUUUGUUACUGGGAGAGUAAUAUAGCUGGAUCAAAAUUAUGAAUUAGCAGGACUGUCUUUUAGUCUCCUCUAUGUUACUAGAGCAAAUCUCUUAUUAAUGUGAUUAGCAUGGAAGAAAGUCCUUAUCAAAUUCCCGCUUCAUUACUGGUGACUGGCCAGGGGUAGCUUGAGUGGUUGGUUAUCUAAGGAGAAUAUUCCCAGGAGAUCUUUGCAGCAUUCAGGGAUGGUUUACUCUGGCUCUGUAGAUAUGGCAAGUGACACAUCAGUUUGUUAGGACCACAUUUCCCACUGUUUCCACUGAAUGUUUUUUUAUUGUUUAUUGCCCCAUAUCUUGUAUAAAAAGGAUUAGAUAAAAAUUCUGGAUGAAAUAAACUUGGUUAAAUUAUGAGUGGAAAAUUAUCUGCUGGUGAAUCUCAGGGGACCACUCAUGAGUUACACAGCUGUUCUAGAACAACAAUCAGUGUGAUCUUCAGGUUGGUCUCUUGGGUCCUGUUCACCUUCUGAGACCCCAGUGCCUAAGAUGAACUCAUCGUUUCCUAUAUGCUUCAAAAUUAUAGUGGUCCCACCUCACCGCCCCCCGCCCCCCGCCAGGGGACUCCUUUGAAACUAUGAACAAGAGCAAGCCUGGCUCAAAAGGAUAGCAAAGUGCCUAGUUUUGUGUGUCACUUCAUAAGGAAAAAUUCAAAGGGGGCCAGUUUGGUUUCUUAGUUAUGUUCUGGGGGGGGGAACACAAGUCUCCAAUAUUGUCCUUACAGCACACUGGAGCAGCCAGACUGAUUAUCCGGGACUUUACAUAUCUGAAGAAUGAGCUUAGCUUAAUAAUGAAAAACAAGUUCUUUCCUCUUUCACACAAUACCUUUCUACCCAUUAUUUCAAUAACACUUGUUAUAUGUAUUCUAGAUUAGAGUAGCAGUAUCUAUAAGUACACUUGGAUUCCACUGUGACCACUCAAUGAAAUUUUUUGGCAGAAUAGGAUUUUUUUUGGCAGAAGUACUAUUCAACAGUUUGCAAGUGACUGAAAUGGCCUCCGAUGGUCCUUUGUUGAUAUCUGCAAGUCUUGGCCCUUGCAGGUGCCUUCUAGGGAUCCUGAAACAUGUCUUCUUAAAGGCCCCCCUUCCACUCCUGCACAUAUGCCAGGUCUUCUUGAACCCACUCUUCCAUUCCUUUCUUUCCCAUGUUUUUUACUCCAAACUUCUGUUUUCAACCUCCAUAAAGAAAAUGGCUAAGGUGCAAGAAAUGCUCCAGGCUGCUAUUGUAGGAAACUAAUUUAAUGGACACUCUCCAAAUCCAGCAUCAGAAAUAAAGGUCUCAUGGGUCCUUUUGGCAGCAUUUAAAUGACUGCUCCCCUAUGGCUUUGUGUCUGUUAAUGGGUGUUCUCCUUCUUUAGAGCAAGGCACAUUGAUAGGCCACUGUACAAAGAUAAAUACUAUUCUUUGGGUUUGUGGAUUUUCUAAAUAAACUGAGAACAGUGGCUAAAUAUCAUAUGACCUGGAAGCCUAAAAGGAAGAGGCAUAGAGUGACUUCAUUCAGCCUCUUUUCAAAAGCACUCUGUAUUUGUCAAGCGUCAGAGUUUGUAGAGACAUUUAGCAGACAGUGGUUGCAAGAAAAAGAAUUUUGCUGAGAUGUAUAAACUGUAUGACUUGUGUUAAGUCAUGCCUAAGACAUUAGACAACAUAUAUUGAUCUUGUUUUU